rnacentral:lncRNA from 1 species
AGGCGGAGAAGCUGGUGCCGAGCGAGUGCUUGUGAUAUCACGCUUUGAUGGCCUUCAUGGUGUGUUGGGCUCGAUGUGGGCCUCUUCUUGUUAAAAGAUUGGCCGAUCAUGGUAGGACCAUAGAGAUUUCAAGAAUCAAAAUCCUCGGUAUAAUGAUUUGAACGGCAUGGACCGAGUAAAAACAUUUUAUAAGCCUUGGUUUGCUACCGAGUAAAUGAAAUAUGGUAG